AAAAGAAGAGAAAAGAGUAAAAAAUAAAACAAGCCCCAUAAAACAAGCCUAAAUAAAGAGAGAAAUCUCGAAAAUCUCGAAUCGUGGCGGUCGUGGGUUUUGCCGUUGGAAUCUCUCAUCUUUCCCUCUCCAUUCACCNUGUAACAAAGGGAGAGAAAAUUUUUUAUUUGAUAAAAAGGUAUAGUUUUUUGAGAUAUGGG
rnacentral:misc_RNA from 1 species